rnacentral:ncRNA from 14 species
CGACUCUCGGCAACGGAUAUCUCGGCUC